rnacentral:rRNA from 1 species
CCUACGUGACGCUGCAGUAGGGAAUAUUGCUCAAUGGCCGAAACCCUGAAGCAGCAACGCCGCGUGGAGGAUGAAGGUUUUCGGAUUGUAUACUCCUUUUGUUAUAGCAUAUAAUGACGGUAUCUAACGAAUAAGCAACGGCUAACUCCGUCCAAGAAGCGGCGGUAAUACGGAGGGUGCAAGCGUUACUCGGAAUCACUGGGCGUAAAGCGCGCGUAGUCGGCAUAGCAAGUCAGAUGUGAAAUCCUAUGGCUUAACCAUAGAACUGCAUUUGAAACUGGUAUGCUAGAGUAUGGGAGAGGUAGGUGGAAUUCUUGGUGUAGGGGUAAAAUCCGUAGAGAUCAAGAGGAAUACUCAUUGCGAAGGCGACAUGCUAGAACAUAACUGACGCUGAUGCGCGAAAGCGUGGGGAGCAAACAGGAUUAGAUACCCUUGUAGUC